GAUGCACUAGUAACAACCAUUACAAUGUCUUGUCAAGGCAUAAUUAUAGGUUAAACCCCUGUGUGCCUCA
rnacentral:tRNA from 1 species